rnacentral:rRNA from 1 species
GAUGAACGCUGGCGGCGUGCCUAAUACAUGCAAGUCGAGCGAACGGACGAGAGGCUUGCUUCUCUGAUGUUAGCGGCGGACGGGUGUGUAACACGUGGAUAACCUACCUAUAAGACUGGGAUAACUUCGGGAAACCGGAGCUAAUACCGGAUAAUAUUUUGAACCGCAUGGUUCAAAAGUGAAAGACGGUCUUGCUGUCACUUAUAGAUGGAUCCGCGCUGCAUUAGCUAGUUGGUAAGGUAACGGCUUACCAAGGCAACGAUGCAUAGCCGACCUGAGAGGGUGAUCGGCCACACGGGAACUGGGACACGGUCCAUACUCCUACGGGAGGCAGCAGUAGGGAAUCUUCCGCAAUGGGCGAAAGCCUGACGGAGCAACGCCGCGUGAGUGAUGAAGGUCUUCGGAUCGUAAAACUCUGUUAUGAGGUAAGAACAUAUGUGUAAGUAACUGUGCACAGCUUGACGGUACCUAAUCAGAAAGCCACGGCUAACUACGUG